rnacentral:rRNA from 1 species
UACGUAGGGGGGCAAGCGUUUGUCCGGAUUUAUUGGGCGUAAAGAGCUCGUAGGCGGCUUGUCGCGUCGUCCGUGAAAACUCACAGCUCAACUGUGAGCUUGCGGUCGAUACGGGCAGGCUAGAGUUCGGUAGGGGAGACUGGAAUUCCUGGUGUAGCGGUGAAAUGCGCAGAUAUCAGGAGGAACACCGGUGGCGAAGGCGGGUCUCUGGGCCGAUACUGACGCUGAGGAGCGAAAGCGUGGGGAGCGAACAGG